rnacentral:rRNA from 1 species
GGGCCCGCACAAGCGGUGGAGUAUGUGGUUUAAUUCGAUGCAACGCGAAGAACCUUACCAGGGUUUGACAUCCUGCGAAUCUCUUGGAAACGAGAGAGUGCCUUCGGGAGCGCAGUGACAGGUGGUGCAUGGCUGUCGUCAGCUCGUGUCGUGAGAUGUUCGGUUAAGUCCGGCAACGAGCGCAACCCCUGUCUUUAGUUGCCAUCAUUUAGUUGGGCACUCUAAAGAAACUGCCGGUGAUAAGCCGGAGGAAGGUGGGGACGACGUCAAGUCCUCAUGGCCCUUACGGGAUGGGCUACACACGUGCUACAAUGCUACGGACAAAGGGCUGCAAGUUCGCGAGGACAAGCAAAUCCCAUAAACCGUGGCUCAGUUCAGAUCGUAGGCUGCAACUCGCCUACGUGAAGGCGGAAUCGCUAGUAAUCG